AUGUACCACAGUUUUCUUAUCCAUUCAUCUGCUGAUGGACAUCUAGGUUGCUUCCAUGUCCUGGCUAUUAUAAACAGUGCUGCAAUGAACACUGGGGUACACGUGUCUCUUAAAAAGCACAGAAGUGAUAGGAAUAUCUGGACCUGUGUCCUUCUUCUUGGUGGCAUUUUGUUCAAUGCCUUGGCUUCUGAGGGGAUGUCAGCAGCCCUAGACAGGAGGCUCUCAGCUUCAGGGAGAUCCCUGCACAUAACUCAAGUAGCUGAGUCAUCAUGGGGAACACAAGGGCCUGCACAACGAGAAUAUUAGCAAUGACCGGGAUGGACUCACACCAGAGCUCUUCCAUUCAUUGUUGACAUUGCAGAAGCUUCAGAUUUCUCAGUACUCGGUAGGUGCAGAAGGCUGGUUAUGACCAAGGUUGGCUCCUCAGCCCUUCUAGCUUAGGGUAUAAUUUGAUUUGUUUCAUUUUCAUUUCAUUGUACCUAUUUAUUUCUAUAAUUUAUUUAUUUAAUCAUAAAUGCCUUUCUAUAUCUCUUUGAACAAUCUCAGCAAAUGUAUGCUGACAUCUUUUCAGAUGAUUCUAAUAUGAGUUUCACUUGGUGUGAACUAUUCUUCCAAGUCUUAUUUCUUGGCUGUCCUUGGAGAAAUUAGUCUUCCUGUGCUUUGGACUUUUGUUUGCAGGCUGAUUUUGAGUAUCCCCUUCAAAUUUCUUCCUUCCAAACAGUUCAGAAGUUGACUCCGCCUAGCCCGGUCCUAUUCCCAAACCAGAACCAAAUUUUACAGUUGAGCAUAGGAUGUCUUCCCUGGUACCUCAGACUUUAAAGGAUCUGCCUACAAUGCGGGAGACCUGGGUUCAAUCCCUGGGUGGGGAAGAUCUCCUGGAGAAGGAAAUGGCAACCCACUCCAGUAUUCUUGCCUGGAAAAUCCCAUGGAUGGAGAAACCUGGUAGGCUACAGUCCAUGGGGUUGCAAAGAAUGGGACACGACUGAGCGACUUCACUUUACUUCACUAUCGGAUGUACUGCCCCUGGAGGCCAUUGAGGGAUGUGGCUGAUUCAUUUACAGAGCCGGUAGUUGGCUCAGUUUCAGAGAGUAACACAUGGUCUUUGCCCUUCAUCUCCCAGGCUUACAGCUUCAUCUGAAGCCACAGUCCCAGCAGAGUGAGAGUAGAGUGAAAGCCCUGUCUGCCUCUGGCAUCAAACAGGAAGCCUGGCUCUGCUCCAGGUCUCAUUUACACUUAGAACUCCUUGUCCUCCAGGGACCAAGCUCCCAGUCACAGGUGCCUACUUCCAAAGCCUAGACAACCCACAGUUUGUGUUUUCCCUUUGUGUCUGGUCCACAAGAUCUUAUCCUGUAUUAGAAACUGGUUGAGUCUUCCUGGUUUUCCCCCUUUCUCUCUCUCUUCCCUCCUUCCUUCCUUCCUUCUUUCUUUCUUUCUUUUUCUGUCUCUUUCUUCCUGCCUUUUAAAUAUUUCACCUGUCAUUGCUAUGUGUUCUGAGCAGAAAGGUGAACUGACUGCCUCUUGAUCAUUAUAAAAGUCUGAAUUAAUUCAUUUGAAAAUGGUAAAGAAAUGACAUUUUCCCCAAGUCACUGGAGUAAAACCCACAUCCUGUAUCAAGACUGACCCUUAUUUACUCCUCCCCUUGACACAGUCCGAGCAUUUGAAUCUUCUGUUAAUGCCUGUACUGUUAUACAAUUUGGUACUUAUUGAUUUGUUAGAAAUGUUAUGUGUGUGCAUGUCCUGUUCUCCAAGAUAAUCUGCUAACUGCUUAACAGCAGAGACCAUGAUUUAUCAUUAAAGUAUUCCCCAAAUGGAACACUUUCUGAUAGCCACACACAGAAAACCUCAAUAAAUACCAAUUGUCAGGCUGAUUUACCCCA
ensembl:lncRNA